UACGGAGGGGGCUAGCGUUGUUCGGAAUUACUGGGCGUAAAGCGCACGUAGGCGGCUUUGUAAGUUAGAGGUGAAAGCCCGGGGCUCAACUCCGGAAUUGCCUUUAAGACUGCAUCGCUAGAAUUGUGGAGAGGUAAGUGGAAUUCCGAGUGUAGAGGUGAAAUUCGUAGAUAUUCGGAGGAACACCAGUGGCGAAGGCGGUCGACUGGGCCAGUACUGACGCUGAGGCGCGACAGCGUGGGGAGCAAACAGG
rnacentral:rRNA from 1 species